rnacentral:tRNA from 1 species
GCGCCCAUAGCUCAGCUGGACAGAGCACCGGAUUUCUAAUCCGGCGGUCCCAGGUUCGAGUCCUGGUGGGCGUGCCA